rnacentral:miRNA from 1 species
GUCCUGACUGUCCUGACUGUC